CCAAACUUGGUCAUUUAGAGGAAGUAAAAGUCGUAACAAGGUCUCCGUUGGUGAACCAGCGGAGGGAUCAUUAGAGAGUUCUCAUAAAACUCCCAAACCCAUGUGAACAUACCUUUUGUUGCCUCGGCAGGUCGUGCCGGCGCUUAACCGCGUAGUACCCUACCCCGUAGGGCCUACCCGGGACGCGCCGGCGGCCCCUGCCGGCGGCCCACGAAACUCUGUUUAGCAUAUUGAAUUCUGAACGUAUAACUAAAUCAGUUAAAACUUUCAACAACGGAUCUCUUGGUUCUGGCAUCGAUGAAGAACGCAGC
rnacentral:misc_RNA from 1 species